AUAUAUAAUUAUUUUUUUAUUAUAAUAUAUAACAAAUAUUCAAGAUUUAGGCAAUUGAUAUUUAUAAUUAGGGGCAAAUUUCAAAGGGAUCACACUGUCACAAUACCCUAAGCAACCUUGAUCAACAUAUUCAAAAUUUGAACUGGACAUGAACAUGCAUACAACAAACAAAGAUGUCUUCUAUCAUGAACAAAGUAAUAUGAAUUUUACAAUGGAUUUAGAUCCAAAAGUUCCAACUAAUUCUGUUGACACUGGAUAGUGCAUAUGAUAGCCUUCAGUUGACAUGACUCUUGGAUUUAGGAAGAUUGGUGUUUACACAUAAUUUGGAUAACAUCUUUUGUAUUUGAAAUCAGAAAAUUCAACUUUAAGGACAGUGAGUACAGAGAAACAGAACUAAAGGAUACACAGAUAUGUAACACAACAACCUAUAGAGGACAGAGAAAAUUUUGUUUUAUUAUUAAAUCAUACUUUUUUAAA